GUCGAGGGGCAGCGGGGUUGUAGCAAUACAACUGCCGGCGACCGGCGCACGGGUGAGUAACACGUAUGUAACCUGCCCUCUGCAGGGGGAUAAGCGGAAGAAAUUCCGUCUAAUACCGCAUAAUACAAUUUGGAGACAUCUCCGGGUUGUCAAAGGAGUGAUCCGGCAGAGGAUGGACAUGCGGCGCAUUAGCUAGUCGGCGGGGUAACGGCCCACCGAGGCUACGAUGCGUAGGGGUUCUGAGAGGAAGGUCCCCCACACUGGUACUGAGACACGGACCAGACUCCUACGGGAGGCAGCAGUGAGGAAUAUUGGUCAAUGGGCGGAAGCCUGAACCAGCCAAGUCGCGUGAGGGAAGACGGUCCUAUGGAUUGUAAACCUCUUUUGCAGGGGAGCAAGGCGCGGUACGUGUACCGCGAAGGAGAGUACCCUGAGAAAAAGCAUCGGCUAACUCCGUGCCAGCAGCCGCGGUAAUACGGAGGAUGCGAGCGUUAUCCGGAUUUAUUGGGUUUAAAGGGUGCGCAGGCGGACUGUUAAGUCAGCGGUAAAAUGUCGGUGCUCAACACCGGCCGGCCGUUGAAACUGGCAGCCUUGAGUGAGCGAGAAGUAUGCGGGAUGCGUGGUGUAGCGGUGAAAUGCAUAGAUAUCACGCAGAACUCCGAUUGCGAAGGCAGCAUACCGGCGCUCAACUGACGCUCAGGCACGAAAGCGUGGGUAUCGAACAGGCUUAGAUACCCUGGUAGUCCACGCAGUAAACGAUGAAUGCUCACUGUCCGGGCCGUUUAAGGCCUGGGUGGUCAAGC
rnacentral:rRNA from 1 species